AGAACGACUCUCGGCAACGGAUAUCUCGGCUCUCGCAUCGAUGAAGAACGUAGCGAAAUGCGAUACUUGGUGUGAAUUGCAGAAUCCCGUGAACCAUCGAGUCUUUGAACGCAAGUUGCGCCCGAAGCCACCAGGUCGAGGGCACGUCUGCCUGGGCGUCACAC
rnacentral:rRNA from 2 species